rnacentral:rRNA from 1 species
GACGAACGCUGGCGGCGUGCUUAACACAUGCAAGUCGAACGGAAAGGCCCUGCUUUUGUGGGGUGCUCGAGUGGCGAACGGGUGAGUAACACGUGAGUAACCUGCCCUUUACUUUGGGAUAACUUCAGGAAACUGGGGCUAAUACCGGAUAGGAGCUCCUGCUGCAUGGUGGGGGUUGGAAAGUUUCGGCGGUUGGGGAUGGACUCGCGGCUUAUCAGCUUGUUGGUGGGGUAGUUGCUUACCAAGGCUUUGACGGGUAGCCGGCCUGAGAGGGUGAACGGCCAAAUUGGGACUGAGAGACGGCACAGACGCCUACGGGAGGAAGCAGGGAGGAAUAUUGAACAAUGGGAGGAAGCCUGAUGAAGCAACGCCGCGUGCGGGAUGAAGGCCUUCGGGUUGUAAACCGCUUUCGCCUGUGACGAAGCGUGAGUGACGGUAAUGGGUAAAGAAGCACCGGCUAACUACGUG